rnacentral:rRNA from 1 species
UACGUAGGGUGCGAGCGUUGUCCGGAAUUAUUGGGCGUAAAGAGCUUGUAGGCGGCUUGUCGCGUCUGCUGUGAAAAUCCGGGGCUCAACCCCGGACUUGCAGUGGGUACGGGCAGGCUUGAGUGUGGGAGAGGUGAGUGGAAUUCCUGGUGUAGCGGUGAAAUGCGCAGAUAUCAGGAAGAACACCCGUGGCGAAAGCGGCUCUCUGGAACGGUACUGACGCUGAGACGCGAAAGCGUGGGGAGCGAACAGG